rnacentral:rRNA from 1 species
GACGAACGCUGGCGGCGUGCUUAACACAUGCAAGUCGAACGUGAUUUUUGUGGAAAUUCUUUCGGGAAUGGAAAUGAAAUGAAAGUGGCGAACGGGUGAGUAACACGUGAGCAACCUACCUUACACAGGGGGAUAGCCGCUGGAAACGACGAUUAAUACCGCAUGAGACCACAGAAUCGCAUGAUAUAGGGGUCAAAGAUUUAUCGGUGUAAGAAGGGCUCGCGUCUGAUUAGCUAGUUGGAAGGGUAAAGGCCUACCAAGGCGACGAUCAGUAGCCGGUCUGAGAGGAUGAACGGCCACAUUGGAACUGAGACACGGUCCAAACUCCUACGGGAGGCAGCAGUGGGGAAUAUUGCACAAUGGGGGGAACCCUGAUGCAGCGACGCCGCGUAAGCGAAGAAGGUUUUCGAAUCGUAAAGCUCUGUCCUAUGAGAAGAUAAUGACGGUAUCAUAGGAGGAAGCCCCGGCUAAAUACGUG